rnacentral:rRNA from 1 species
ACGGUAAAAUAGUUAAGGAAAAACUUUAGUUCUUAAAAUAAUAUUAUAAAGUAAAAUUUGAAUAUUUUUAAAACCUCAGAAGCUUAUUAUCCGAAGCUAUGAAACCCUUGAGGGAAACUGGGAUUAGAUACCCCACUAUUCUAGGGCAUAAAAACUUUACCAGGGUACUACGAGCUAUGUUUAAAACCCAAAGAACUUGGCGGUAUUUUAGACCUCCCAGGGGAACCUGUCUCAUAAGCGAUGAUCCGCGUUGAACCUGGCCCUAUUUAAUUUGUUUGUAUACCGUCGUCGUCAGGUAACUUCCAAAAAGAAAAAAGUUAGCGAAUAGACAGAGAAGUGUUUAACGUCAGAUCGAGGUGCAGCUCAUAUUAGGGGGAGGAUGGGUUACAAUUAUGAACUUAUAAUACGAAUAAGAGCCAGUUGAAAAUCUCUUUGAAGGAGGACUUGGAAGUAAGAAUG